AGAAGAGGCAGGCAGUCGCUGCGCCGGUUCAUCACGGUUGUUGAUCAUGGUGACUUGGCGGAGAGGAAAGUCCGGGCUCCACAGGAGACGGCGGUGGAUAACGUCCACCAUCCGCGAGGGUCGGGAAAGUGCCACAGAAAAGAUACCGCCUGGAAAGUUCGCUUCCCGGGUAAGGGUGAAAUGGUGCGGUAAGAGCGCACCGCGGUUCGGGUGACCGAACUGGCAGGGUAAACCCCGCCGGGAGCAAGACCAAGCAGAGCGGAAGGCGGACUCGUGCCGCUUCAGACCUCUCCGGUCUGGAACCACCGCUCGGGUCGGUUGCUGGAGGCUGUUGGCAACAACAGUCCUAGAGAAAUGACUGUCCACGACAGAACCCGGCUUACGCAGCUUCUCCAG
rnacentral:RNase_P_RNA from 1 species